rnacentral:sRNA from 1 species
ACGCUGCCGAAGACAGUAGGUGCCGCAAGGCAUAAGUUGUAAACGCCUACCGAGGACUAAGUAUUCUUUAUAUUUUUAUGUAAGAUUACGCAAGCCCUACUGCCAGACAGUAAGGCUUUUUAUUUAC